GUUAAAACUCAAAUGAAUUGACGGGGGCCCGCACAAGCGGUGGAGCAUGUGGUUUAAUUCGAUGCAACGCGAAGAACCUUACCUACUCUUGACAUCCAGCGAAUCCUUUAGAGAUAGAGGAGUGCCUUCGGGAGCGCUGAGACAGGUGCUGCAUGGCUGUCGUCAGCUCGUGUUGUGAAAUGUUGGGUUAAGUCCCGCAACGAGCGCAACCCUUAUCCUUGUUUGCCAGCACAUAAUGGUGGGAACUCCAGGGAGACUGCCGGUGAUAAACCGGAGGAAGGUGGGGACGACGUCAAGUCAUCAUGGCCCUUACGAGUAGGGCUACACACGUGCUACAAUGGCAGAUACAGAGGGCAGCGAAGCUGCGAAGUGGAGCGAAUCCCUUAAAGUUUGUCGUAGUCCGGAUUGGAGUCUGCAACUCGACUCCAUGAAGUCGGAAUCGCUAGUAAUCGUGGAUCAGAAUGCCACGGUGAAUACGUUCCCGGGCCUUGUACACACCGCCCGUCACACCAUGGGAGUGGGCUGCACCAGAAGUAGAUAGCUUAACCUUCGGGAGGGCGUUUACCACGGUGUGGUUCAUGACUGGGGUGAAGUCGUAACAAGGUAGCCCUAGGGGAACCUGGGGCUGGAUCACCUCCUUA
rnacentral:ncRNA from 1 species